rnacentral:lncRNA from 1 species
UGUGGGUGGAAGUCACAUAAUCAACGCCAGUCACGAAAUAGCGCGAAAUUGGAAAAGAUUUCCAAAGAAACCGCCAUCGAGUAGAUAACAUGCAAGUUCUCACAAAUUUCUUCGUCACACGACAAACAGAGAAUGUGAAUUAGAAUGACUCAGGCAAAUCUCUAAGUCGGUUUUUUUCUUUUUCUGUCGCCACCAUCAUUUUCUUCUUUUGCACUUCCAUGGCUGAACGAAG